rnacentral:rRNA from 1 species
CCAGCAGCUGCGGUAAUUCCAGCUCCAAUAGCGUAUAUUUAAGUUGCUGCAGUUAAAAAGCUCGUAGUUGGAUUUCGGGUGGGGCCUGCCGGUCUGCCUUUUCGGUUGCACUGGCAGGGCCCACCUUGUUGCCGGGGACGGGCUCCUGGGCUUCACUGUCCGGGACCCGGAGUCGGCGAGGUUACUUUGAGUAAAUUAGAGUGUUCAAAGCAGGCCUACGCUCUGAAUACAUUAGCAUGGAAUAACAUGAUAGGACUCUGGCCUAUCCUGUUGGUCUGUAGGACCGGAGUAAUGACUAAUAGGGACAGUCGGGGGCAUUCGUAUUUCAUUGUCAGAGGUGAAAUUCUUGGAUUUACGAAAGAUAAACUUCUGCGAAAGCAUUCGGCAAGGAUGUUUUCAUUGAUCAAGAACGAAAGU